GGCGACGUAGUAUAGUGGUCAGUACGCUGGACUCUGAAUCCAGAUGCCCGAGUUCGAGUCUCGGCGUUGCCU